rnacentral:rRNA from 1 species
GACGAACGCUGGCGGCGUGCUUAACACAUGCAAGUCGAACGGAAAGACCCUGCUCUUGUUGGUUGCUCGAGUGGCGAACGGGUGAGUAACACGUGUGUAACCUGCCCUUGACUUUGGGAUAACUUCAGGAAACUGGGGCUCAUACCGGAUAGGAGCUCCUGAUGCAUGGUGUGGGUUGGAAAGUUUCGGCGUUUGGGAGUGGACUGGCGGGUUAUCAGCUUGUUGGUGGGGUAGUGGCUGACCAAGGCUUUGACGGGUAGCCGGCCUGAGAGGGUGACCGGCGACACAGGGACUGAGGUACGGCACAGAUUGGGACGGGAGGCAGCAGUGGGGAAGCUUGAAGAAGGAGCGGAAGCCGGAUGAAGAAACGCCGCGUGUGGGAUGACGGUCUUCGGGGUGUAAACCGAUUGCGCAUGUGACGAAGCGUGAGUGACGGUAAUGGGUACAGAAACCCCGGCUAACUACGUG